GACACAGUCUUGCGGGAACUGUACUCGACAUACAAAUUCGAUUGUCCGAAAACCUGAUAUCUAAUAAAUCUGUGUGAGAUGCAAACGGAUCUGAUAAAACCUCCGAGUAAAGAGAUACUGGAGAGAGUACGGGGCGAGUAUAAUCUGAAUACUGAACGAGUGAGGGAAGCUGUGGAACAUCUGAAGGACUGGAUACAGCUGCAGCCUCAUCUGCCUAAAGAAACUGUUGCAGAUGAUGGCAGGCUGGAGCGGUGGCUCAUCCGAUGCAAGAACAGCACGGAGAAGGUCAAGAGGACGCUGGACCUGCACUAUACGCUGAAGACAGACGUGCCUGAGAUAAUGAUGGGCUGGGACACACAUGCAGACUGGUUCAAAUCCAUAACAAAUA